CCUACGGGAGGCUGCAGUGAGGAAUAUUGGUCAAUGGACGAGAGUCUGAACCAGCCAAGUCGCGUGAAGGAUGACUCCCCUAUGGGUUGUAAACUUCUUUUAUAUGGGAAUAAAAUGUUCCACGUGUGGGAUUUUGUAUGUACCAUAUGACUAAGGAUCGGCUAACUCCGUGCCAGCAGCCGCGGUAAUACGGAGGAUCCGAGCGUUAUCCGGAUUUAUUGGGUUUAAAGGGAGCGUAGGUGGAUUGUUAAGUCAGAUGUGAAAGUUUGCGGCUCAACCGUAAAAUUGCAGUUGAAACUGGCAGUCUUGAGUACAGUAGAGGUGAGCGGAAUUCGUGGUGUAGCGGUGAAAUGCUUAGAUAUCACGAAGAACUCCGAUUGCGAAGGCAGUUCACUGGACUGCAACUGACACUGAGGCUCGAAAGUGUGGGUAUCAAACAGGAUUAGAUACCCCAGUAGUC
rnacentral:rRNA from 1 species